UACGUAGGGGGCAAGCGUUGUCCGGAUUUAUUGGGCGUAAAGAGCUCGUAGGCGGUUCAGCAAGUCGGGUGUGAAAACUCUGGGCUCAACCCAGAGACGCCACCCGAUACUGCUGUGACUAGAGUCCGGUAGGGGAGUGGGGAAUUCCUGGUGUAGCGGUGAAAUGCACAGAUAUCAGGAGGAACACCGGUGGCGAAGGCGCCACUCUGGGCCGGCACUGACGCUGAGGAGCGAAAGCGUGGGUAGCAAACAGG
rnacentral:rRNA from 1 species